CUCGACUCACUCGCGACAAACGGGUGAGCUAGCAGCCAGGUGCUUGCUUGUAGCUCGAUACCAGAUGAUAUCAUUCGCGCAUGUGCCAACCAGCUGUGUUGUCCCUUCUUCUCUACCACUGACAGAAUCCUAAAACUGGAACUGAUGUUGCACGGUGUACUUAGUACGCGAAUUGACUAUAUGAAGCGCUACUGUCAAAUUAGACUGCCUGGAAAUACAAUUCUCCACAGUCUUCGACAAAUGUCGAUCGGAGGUUUUGAUUCAGCUUUACAAAUAAAUAUUGAAGCGAACAGUGAAAAACUAUCCAAUGAAGAGGUUACAAAAGGAUAAAGAAUUAUUGUUAAGAUCUAAUGGAAAAUAUUUCUACUUAUUUAUGUUGGAUUGGAGUUAUUACAGAAAAACUUUUGAUGUGAAACUUUUUUUACUGCAAAAACCUUACUCGCAAAUAAGAAGUACUCGGUUUCCUUCAAGCUAAAUGUGUACAAGUGUACGAUAGUGUACGUAUUCUCCAGUUCUUUUAUUUCUAGCAACAAUAACCAGGCACCAGGGCUUCGAUAAUAGCGUCAACGAAUUUAUUUAAAAUGGAUUAUUAUUUUACUCUUGAAUGUUUUCAAAAAAAAGGAAUUUAUAUAUAAACACAAUAUAGUGUUCCAAUUAAAAAAAAAAUUAAUACAGUAAUUAGAUUAAUUUAUUUGUUAUUUGAUAUCAAAUUAUGAUAUAGUUUUAAACAAGGUGCUUUAAUCGAAUGUUGAUAAAACUUUUAAGAGCCUAGAUAUUAUUGAGAUCAUAAAGAGAUUUCAUAGAAGAUAAAUUGAUGAUUAUCCGCGGCUCAGAUUCUUGUGGAGUGAAAUUGAUGUCAAGAGGGAGAUAAGAAAAAUUUCAGCCAGUUCAUAAUGACAGUGUGUACUUGAUAAUGUAGUUUUUAUCUGGUUAUUCAAUUCUUAUUAAAAUAAUUAUAUUGAAGUUUUACUUCUUAUGUCUAUAAUAGUUGAAACAUUUUUUUUUUUGUUUGAAGUC